AGUGCAAUGGCUUGAUCUUGGCUCACUGCAACCUCCGCCUCCCGGGUUCAAGCGAUUUCCCUGCCUUGGCCUCCUGAGCAGCUGGGACUACAGGUGCACGCCACCAUGCCCGGCUAGUUUUUCGUAUUUUAGUAGAGACGGGGUUUCACCACGUUGGCCAGGAUGGUCUCCGUCUCCUCAUCUUGUGACUCACCCACCUCGGCCUCCCAAAGUGCUGGGAUUACAGGUGGGAGCCACCGUGCCCAGCCAAGGUACGAGCAUUAACUAGCACCUGGAGUAACUCAAUACUAGAGCAUCACAUCCGGGAAGCUGACGUUGGUGUGACGCUCGGAGCUUGCUCAGGUCCCGCUGGUUUGCACGGGUGUUUGCACGUCCACACUGUUUUAUCACAUGUGCUGAUACCUCCACCCUGCGACGCUGUGGCACGGCUCCCUCCAGCACCGUCAAGACCGCCCUUGCCUCAGGGCAGCCUUCCGAAUGGGAAGAGACCCCGGAUCCACAGGAGUGCUCAGGGAACCCGCAAAGGCGUGGCUGACGUCUGCACAUCUGUGAACGAGGUGGAGGACAAAUACCCCUUAUGCUGUCACAAAGAAGCUGAUGUGGCUGGGCGUGGUAGCUCACACCUGUCAUCUCAGAACUUUGGGACGCCGAGGCGGGCGGAUCACCUGAGGUCAGCAGGUCCAGACCAGCCUGACCGAGAUGGAGAAACCCUGUAGCUACUAAAAAUACAAAAAUUAGCUGGGCAUGGUGGCAGGCCCCUGUAAUCCCAACUGCUCGGGAGGCUGGGGCAGGAGAAUCGUUUGAAUUUGGGAGGUGGAGUUUGCGGUGAGCCGACAUCACAUGCCACUGAACUCCGGGGUGGGCACCAAGAAUGAAACUCUGUCUCAAGAAAAGAAGAAAGGAAGAAGAAGGGCCGGGCAUGGCUCAUGCUUGUAAUCCAAGCACUUUGGAGGCCAAGGUGGGCGGAUCAUCUGAGGUCAGGAGUUCAAGACCAGCCUGACCAACAUGGUGAAAUCCCGUCUUUAAAAACAGGAAGAAAAAAAGAAGAAGAAGAGGAGGAGGAGAAGGAGAAGAAGGAGCUGAUGUUUCUCAGGUUUCUUUCUUCUGUUUCCCUUGCUCCCCACAACCCCGAUUCCGAACUAGGGCGCUGUUGAAGAUACGUGUCAGAAGUCUAGGAUUCUUAUACAACAGAGAAAAAAAACAAGAGAGUCUUUACCGACAUGCUUAGCUCUGCUGCCCCUGAAGAAUAGAUUCCUGCCUGGGAGUGGUGACUUCCUGGCAGCCCAGCCAGCCAGGCAGAGAGCACCGCCACUGGACUCCCUAAAAAGGGUGGAGAAUCCUCCGCAAACAUCGGACAGAUCCGGCGGCCGGGGAGAGAUGCCAGGGCCCGACAGCCCCUGCUGCACGUGGAGAAAACCGCCAGCAAGCGGCUCCUCCUCCUCCUGACGUCCUCCUCCGUCUCGGAGAGGUGCCUGUUUUAUCACGUUGAGGUGCAGGAUAUGUUUUUUUUUCUUUUGAUUGAUCAAUUUGAUGGUCGUAGAAUGAAAAUCUGGAUGGGGGAGAGCCCAACGUGCAGUUUUAGUAACAUCGUCGAGUUCAUCCAUCUGGCCCCUGAGAAAGUAACGGCGGAGCCCAAAUAUCACGGACUGAAUGACACACGGUCGCUUAUCCGCAGGAGGCUGGCGUCCAGCGGAAGGACAGCGUGGAGACCAGUAAUUACGUUACGGUGUGGAAAGUGCCCGCAUCAGUGGGGCGGAGCAGUGAGCAGCAUCCCCACGGUGCCCCCCCCCGCUGGCCCCACACGGCUACGGUUUCCUUCACACUCGCCCUCGCUGGACCGGACCGGGUGGGACAGUGUCACCCCAAAAUAUUCGUCUCCCCAGAACCUCAGAAUGUGACCUUCCUUGGAAGUACGGUCUCCACAGACAUAAUUAGUUAAGAUGAAGCUGUGGCUGGGCUCCGUGGCUCACGCCUGUAAUCCCAACGCUUGUACUUUUCCGAGAGACGGGGUUUCUCCCGCCUCAGCCUCCGGAGUAGCUGGGACUAGAGGCAUGUACCACCACGCCCAGCUAAUUUUGUAUUUCUAGUAGAGAUGGGAUUUGACCAUGUUGGUCAGGCUGGUCUUGAACUCCCAACCUCAGGUGAUCCAUCCACGUCUGCCUCCCAAAGAGCUGGAAUCACAGAUGUGGGCCACCUCGCCUGCCUUCUACAUUUUUUUUUUUUUUUCGAGAUGGAGUUUUGUUCCUAUGGCCCAGGCUGGAAUGCGAUGGCAUGAUCUCAGCUCACCCCAACCUCUGCCUCCUGGGUUCAAGCAAUUCUCCUGCCUCAGCCUCUUGAGUAGCUGGGAGUACAGGCACCUGCCACCAUGUCCAGCUAAUGAGACAGGGGUCUUGUUACGUUGCCCAGGCUGGUCUCGAACUCUUGUAUCACUGAAGGGAUCCUCCUGCCUCAGCCUCCAUAAGUGCCGGGGUUACUGUUGUGAGCCACUGCGGCCGGACUACAGUUUGUCGGAUGAGAGGGAUCAGCACGCCUGGCCCUCGAGAGGGGCGUCGGAUGGGCCGUGGUAACGUGGGGCCGCCGCAGACGUGAAUCGGUACCUUCUGAAAAGCAACGUGGCGGGACCUGCCAGAUGCCUUGAGGACGUCCAGACCCCGGGACCCAGCAGUUGCCACCCCCAGGGAUUUAUCAUAACGAUAUAGUCAGAUGUGCACCAGGAUUUACAUAGGAGAGUUGCUUUCUGCGGCCCUUCUUUUACGUCAUGGAAAAAUCAGGACUGGCUGAAACGCCCCACAGCAGAGGUCUGGUGAAGGAAAAUACGGUAGCGACCGUUGUUUUACGGUGUCUUGAGGCAGGAGAGGGAACCGUGUGUGAUAGGUUUCCAGCAGAAGGGAAACGUUUUUAAUUAGAGCCGUAACUGGCUCGGGAGCCGGAAGGAGCCUGUGAAAGGGGGUUCUGGCGGCGACCUGCCAGGCCUUUGUGCUGCCUUAGAGGCAGGCCCUUUACUGCAACCGCGAAUCUCUCUGGUCUAGGAUAGAAAUUCAUUCUUUAAAUAAAAUUUGAGUGAGUGCUCGGUGACAGGGGCUGGGCCUACGAUGGGGAGGAAAAUAGGACUCGGGGAAGCCACAGAUGAAUGGAGAAGACAUUUAAUAAAAUAAGACCUAACAUAGCAGUGGCACAAGAAAUU